GACGAACGCUGGCGGCGUGCUUAACACAUGCAAGUCGAACGGAAAGGCCCUGCUUGCAGGGUACUCGAGUGGCGAACGGGUGAGUAACACGUGGGUGAUCUGCCCUGCACUUCGGGAUAAGCUUGGGAAACUGGGUCUAAUACCGGAUAGGAGCCAUCUUUAGUGUGGUGGUUGGAAAGUUUUUUCGGUGUAGGAUGAGCUCGCGGCCUAUCAGCUUGUUGGUGGGGUAAUGGCCUACCAAGGCGGCGACGGGUAGCCGGCCUGAGAGGGUGUACGGCCACAGUGGGACUGAGAUGCCGCCGGGACUCCUGCGGGAGGCAGCAGUGGGGGAUAGUGCACACUGGGCGUAAGCCUGAUGCUGCCACGCCGCGUGGGGGAUUAAGGCCUUCGGGGUGGAGACUCUUUACGCGAGGGUCGAGGAUUUUGGUGGCGGUACCUAGAUGAGCAGCACCGGCUUACUGCGU
rnacentral:rRNA from 1 species